rnacentral:lncRNA from 1 species
CUGGACAUGACUGUGCUCACCCAGGCAGGAAACUGCAUAUCUUCUGGUUUACAUGAAGAUGGAGUGCUAAUGGAAAUGCCCAAAACCUUCAGAGAUUGACACGCUGUCAUUUUCCAUUUCCGUUCCUGGAUCUACGGAGUCUUCUAAGAGAUUUUGCGAUGAGGAGAAGCAUUGUUUUCAAACUAUAUAACUGAGCCUUAUUUAUAAUUAGGGAUAUUAUCAAAAUAUGUAACCAUGAGGCCCCUCAGGUCCUGAUCAGUCAGAAUGGAUGCUUUCACCAGCAGACCCGGCCAUGUGGCUGCUCGGUCCUGGGUGCUCGCUGCUGUGCGAGACAUUAGCCCUUUAGUUAUGAGCCUGUGGGAACUUCAGGGGUUCCCAGUGGGGAGAGCAGUGGCAGUGGGAGGCAUCUGGGGGCCAAAGGUCAGUGGCAGGGGGUAUUUCAGUAUUAUACAACUGCUGUGACCAGACUUGUAUACUGGCUGAAUAUCAGUGCUGUUUGUAAUUUUUCACUUUGAGAACCAACAUUAAUUCCAUAUGAAUCAAGUGUUUUGUAACUGCUAUUCAUUUAUUCAACAAAUAUUUAUUGAUCAUCUCUUCUCCAUAAGAUAGUGUGAUAAACACAGUCAUGAAUAAAGUUAUUUUCCACAAAAGGACUUUGCAGUUUUAACGGGGGGCAGUAGGGCUUGUGCUAUAGAAAUUCAAAGGCAAGGGAAGUCACUUCUGUUGUGGGGCCCUGGGAGGAGCCUCCAGGCUGGAAAGGGUUAAGGUGGAG